CCCUUAGACGUUCUGGGCCGCACGCGCGCUACACUGACCAGUGCAACAAGCAUCCGUCCUUGGCCGACAGGCCCGGGCAAUCUUUGAACGCUGGUCGUGAUGGGGAUAGACUUUUGCAAUUUUUGGUCUUCAACGAGGAAUUCCUAGUAAACGCAAGUCAUCAACUUGCAUUGAUUACGUCCCUGCCCUUUGUACACACCGCCCGUCGCACUUACCGAUUGAAUGGUCCGGUGAAGCCUCCGGAUUGGCGCGCACCUCGGUGCCGCCGAGAAGUUGGCUAAACCUUACCAUUUAGAGGAAGGUGAAGUCGUAACA
rnacentral:rRNA from 1 species